rnacentral:rRNA from 1 species
CUACGGGCUGCUCCAGUGAGGAAUAUUGGUCAAUGGACGCAAGUCUGAACCAGCCAUGCCGCGUGCAGGAUGACGGCCCUAUGGGUUGUAAACUGCUUUUAUACGGGAAGAAACCUUCGCACGUGUGCGGAGCUGACGGUACCGUAAGAAUAAGCACCGGCUAACUCCGUGCCAGCAGCCGCGGUAAUACGGAGGGUGCAAGCGUUAUCCGGAUUUAUUGGGUUUAAAGGGUGCGCAGGCGGAUUAGUAAGUCAGUGGUGAAAUCCCCCGGCUCAACCGGGGAACUGCCAUUGAUACUGCUAGUCUAGAGUUUAGUUGAAGUGGGCGGAAUGUAGCAUGUAGCGGUGAAAUGCAUAGAUAUGCUACAGAACACCGAUUGCGAAGGCAGCUCACUAAGCUAAAACUGACGCUCAGGCACGAAAGCGUGGGGAGCAAACAGGAUUAGAUACCCCCGUAGUC